rnacentral:rRNA from 1 species
GUCUAUGGCCAUACCACCCUGAAUGUGCAUAAUCUCAUCCGAUCCCUGAAGCUAAGCACGGUCAGGCCUGGUUAGUACUUGGAUAGGAGAAAGUUUUUCAUCAAAAAGUAGUUGAAAUACAUG